CCUACGGGCGGCAGCAGUGAGGAAUAUUGGUCAAUGGGCGCUAGCCUGAACCAGCCAAGUAGCGUGAAGGAUGACUGCCCUAUGGGUUGUAAACUUCUUUUAUAUGGGAAUAAAGUGCAGUAUGUAUACUGCUUUGCAUGUACCUUAUGAAUAAGGAUCGGCUAACUCCGUGCCAGCAGCCGCGGUAAUACGGAGGAUUCGAGCGUUAUCCGGAUUUAUUGGGUUUAAAGGGAGCGUAGGCGGGUUGUUAAGUCAGUUGUGAAAGUUUGCGGCUCAACCGUAAGAUUGCAGUUGAUACUGGCAGCCUUGAGUACAGUAGAGGUAGGCGGAAUGCGUGGUGUAGCGGUGAAAUGCUUAGAUAUCACGAAGAACUCCGAUUGCGAAGGCAGCCUGCUGGACUGUAACUGACGCUGAUGCUCGAAAGUGUGGGUAUCAAACAGGAUUAGAUACCCGUGUAGUC
rnacentral:rRNA from 1 species